UGGUGACAUGUUACUAGCCUAACAUUUUGACACGUGGAAAAAAGUUAAAAUAUUUAUAAAAUAUUUAUAAAAAUAUUCUAUGUGUCAAAAUGUGAGGCUGUCACGUGUCACAA
rnacentral:pre_miRNA from 1 species